AAAUAUGGUGAGCAAUGUAGAUCUAACGAACAGUGUGCUUUUUAUGGAGGAGUUUGUUCAUUAAACCAGACAUGCUCCUGUAAAUCGGGUCACCUUUAUGACAUCAAGGAAAAAAUAUGCUAUAGAGGAAUUCAAAAGCAAAUUGAACAAGACAAACAGAAUUAUAAAGACAAAAUGGUACUUUUCGCUACAGUCGGGUGUAGUUUCUCAGGUUUAACAGUCGGUGUGUUGGUGGGCUUUGUCGUCAUGUUCCUUUUUCAAAAAAGAAGA